GGCGAGAUAGCUCAGUCGGUAGAGCAGUGGACUGAAAAUCCACGUGUCGACGGUUCGAUUCCGUCUCUUGCCACCA
rnacentral:tRNA from 1 species